GUCCUACGGGGCGCAGCAGUGAGGAAUAUUGGUCAAUGGACGAGAGUCUGAACCAGCCAAGUCGCGUGUGGGAAUAAGGCCCUACGGGUCGUAAACCUCUUUUGCCGGGGAGCAAGGGCCGGGACGAGUCCCGGUCCGGAGAGUACCCGGAGAAAAAGCAUCGGCUAACUCCGUGCCAGCAGCCGCGGUAAUACGGAGGAUGCGAGCGUUAUCCGGAUUUAUUGGGUUUAAAGGGUGCGUAGGCGGGCUUUUAAGUCAGCGGUAAAAAUUCGGGGCUCAACCCCGUCCGGCCGUUGAAACUGGGG
rnacentral:rRNA from 1 species